UAAAAAAAAAAAUUAUCCUGCCAGGAUGAACGCGGGCGUUCUGCUUAACACAUGCAAGUCGAACGGAAUCUUUCGGGAUUUAGUGGCGGACGGGUGAGUAACACGUGAGAAUCUGCACUCAGGAUGGGGACAACAGCGGGAAACUGCUGUUAAUACCCAAUGUGCCGAAAGGUAAAAGAUUUAUCGCCUGAGAAUGAGCUCGCGGCCGAUUAGUUAGUUGGUGGGGUAAUGGCCUACCAAGACGGCGAUCGGUAGCUGUUUUGAGAGGAUGAGCAGCCCCACUGGGAUUGAGCCACGGCCCAGAUUCUUACGGGAGGCACCAGUGGGGAAUUUUCCCCAAUGGGCCCAACCCGGACGGAGCAAGACCGCGUGGGGGAGGAAGGUUCUUGGGUUGUAAACCCCUUUUUUCAGGGAAGAAGUUAUGACGGUACCUGAGGAAUCAGCCUCGGCUAACUCCGUGCCAGCAGCCGCGGUAAUACGGAGGAGGCAAGCGUUAUCCGGAAUUAUUGGGCGUAAAGCGUCCGUAGGUGGUGGGGCAAGUCGGCGGUUAAAGACUGGGGCUUAACUCCAGAAAGGCCGUGGAAACUGCACCACUAGAGGGCAGUAGGGGUAGAGGGAAUUCCCGGUGUAGCGGUGAAAUGCGUAGAGAUCGGGAAGAACACCAGUGGCGAAAGCGCUCUACUGGACUGCAACUGACACUCAGGGACGAAAGCUAGGGGAGCGAAUGGGAUUAGAUACCCCAGUAGUCCUAGCCGUAAACGAUGAAGUACGUACGCU
rnacentral:rRNA from 1 species